ACACAUGCAGUCGAGCGGUAGAGAGAAGCUUGCUUCUCUUGAGAGCGGCGGACGGGUGAGUAAUGCCUAGGAAUCUGCCUAGUGGUGGGGGAUAACGUUCGGAAACGGACGCUAAUACCGCAUACGUCCUACGGGAGAAAGCGGGGGACCUUCGGGCCUCGCGCCAUUAGAUGAGCCUAGGUCGGAUUAGCUAGUUGGUGAGGUAACGGCUCACCAAGGCGACGAUCCGUAACUGGUCUGAGAGGAUGAUCAGUCACACUGGAACUGAGACACGGUCCAGACUCCUACGGGAGGCAGCAGUGGGGAAUAUUGGACAAUGGGCGAAAGCCUGAUCCAGCCAUGCCGCGUGUGUGAAGAAGGUCUUCGGAUUGUAAAGCACUUUAAGUUGGGAGGAAGGGUAGUAACUUAAUACGUUGCUACUUUGACGUUACCGACAGAAUAAGCACCGGCUAACUUCGUGCCAGCAGCCGCGGUAAUACGAAGGGUGCAAGCGUUAAUCGGAAUUACUGGGCGUAAAGCGCGCGUAGGUGGUUCAGUAAGUUGGAUGUGAAAGCCCCGGGCUCAACCUGGGAACUGCAUCCAAAACUGCUGAGCUAGAGUACGGUAGAGGGUGGUGGAAUUUCCUGUGUAGCGGUGAAAUGCGUAGAUAUAGGAAGGAACACCAGUGGCGAACGCGACCACCUGGACUGAUACUGACACUGAGUGCGAAAGCGUGGGGAGCAAACAGGA
rnacentral:rRNA from 1 species